rnacentral:rRNA from 1 species
AAUGAACGCUGGCGGCAUGCCUUACACAUGCAAGUCGAACGGCAGCAUGACCUAGCUUGCUAGGUUGAUGGCGAGUGGCGCACGGGUGAGUAAUGCAUCGGAACGUGCCUUUUAGUGGGGGAUAACGUAGCGAAAGUUACGCUAAUACCGCAUAUUCUCUGAGGAGGAAAGCAGGGGACCUUCGGGCCUUGCGCUAGAAGAGCGGCCGAUGUCGGAUUAGCUAGUUGGUGAGGUAAAGGCUCACCAAGGCAACGAUCCGUAGCGGGUCUGAGAGGAUGAUCCGCCACACUGGGACUGAGACAAGGCCCAGACUCCUACGGGAGGCAGCAGUGGGGAAUUUUGGACAAUGGGCGCAAGCCUGAUCCAGCCAUGCCGCGUGAGUGAAGAAGGCCUUCGGGUUGUAAAGCUCUUUCGGCUGGGAAGAAAUCGCACCCUCUAAUACAGGGUGUGGAUGACGGUACCAGCAUAAGAAGCACCGGCUAACUACGUG